rnacentral:rRNA from 1 species
UACGUAGGGUGCAAGCGUUGUCCGGAAUUAUUGGGCGGAAAGAGCUCGUAGGCGGUUUGUUGCGUCGGCUGUGAAAUCCCGAGGCUCAACCUCGGGCCUGCAGUCGAUACGAGCAAACUAGAGUGUUGCAGGGGAGACUGGAAUUCCUGGUGUAGCGGUGAAAUGCGCAGAUAUCAGGAGGAACACCGGUGGCGAAGGCGGGUCUCUGGGCAACAACUGACGCUGAGGAGCGAAAGCGUGGGGAGCGAACAGG